rnacentral:rRNA from 1 species
UUUUCCGCAAUGGGCGAAAGCCUGACGGAGCAAUGCCGCGUGAAGGUAUAAGGCCUACGGGUCAUGAACUUCUUUUCCCGGAGAAGAAGCAAUGACGUUAUCCGGGGAAUAAGCAUCGGCUAACUCUGUGCCAGCAGCCGCGGUAAGACAGAGGGUGCAAGCGUUAUCCGGAAUGAUUGGGCGUAAAGCGUCUGUAGGUGGCUUUUCAAGUCCGGCGUCAAAUCCCAGGGCUAAACCCUGGACAGGCGGUGGAAACUACCAAGCUGGAGUACGGUAGGGGCAGAGGGAAUUUCCGGUGGAGCGGUGAAAUGCAUUGAGAUCGGAAAGAACACCAACGGCGAAAGCGCUCUGCUGGGCCGACACUGACACUGAGAGACGAAAGCUAGGGGAGCGAAUGG